UACGGAAAGCUGAAGAGUGUGUAAUCGUCGUGACGAGAAAUAGUUUCUAAGGUUAGUCAGUAAGGGACCGUACUAUAAACCGACACAGGUGGGCGAGCUGAGAAUGCGCAGGCGCACGGAAGAAUUCGCGUUAAGGAACUCGGCAAAAUACAUAUGUAACUUCGGGAUAAAUAUGGCCAUGGCGACAUGGUUGCAGAGAAAUGGCCCAAGCGACUGUUUACCAAAAACACAGGUCUAUGCGAACCAGCAAUGGGAAGUAUAUGGACUGACACCUGCCCGGUGCUGGAAGGUCAAGAGGAGUUGUUAGUAGCAAUACGAAGCAGCGAAUUUAAGCCCCAGUAAACGGCGGCCGUAACUAUAACGGUCCUAAGGUAGCGAAAUUCCUUGUCGGGUAAGUUCCGACCCGCACGAAUGGUGUAACGAUUUGGGCACUGUCUCAACGCGAAAUCCGGUGAAAUUGAAGUUCGGGUGAAGAUGCCCGAUACUUGUGGUUAGACGGAAAGACCCCGUGAACCUUUACUUUAACUUGAUAUUGAAACUUGGAUCAGCAUGUGUAGGAUAGGUGGGAGACAAGGAUGCAUGCCCGUCAGGGUGUGCGGAGUCGAUGGUGAAAUACCACCCUUGCUGAUACAGGUUUCUAACCGGGUCCGUAAGCCGGAUUCGGAACAGUGUCAGGCGGGAAGUUUGACUGGGGCGGUCGCCUCCCAAAGGGUAACGGAGGCGCGCGAAGGUCACCUUAGGAUGGUUGGGAAUCAUCCGGCAAGUGUAAAGGCACAAGGUGGCUUGACUGCGAGACAAACAAGUCGAGCAGGUACGAAAGUAGGUCUUAGUGAUCUGGCGGUAGCGUGUGGAAGCGCCGUCACUUAACGGAUAAAAGGUACUCCGGGGAUAACAGGCUGAUCUUGCCCAAGAGUUCAUAUCGACGGCAAGGUUUGGCACCUCGAUGUCGGCUCAUCGCAUCCUGGGGCUGGAGCAGGUCCCAAGGGUUUGGCUGUUCGCCAAUUAAAGCGGUACGCGAGCUGGGUUCAGAACGUCGUGAGACAGUUCGGUCCCUAUCUGCCACAAGCGUUGGAUGUUUGAGAGGUUCUGCUUUUAGUACGAGAGGACCGAAGUGGACGAACCUCUAGUGUACCAGUUGUUCCGCCAGGAGCAGCUGCUGGGUAGCUACGUUCGGAAGGGAUAACCGCUGAAAGCAUCUAAGUGGGAAGCCCUCCUCAAGAUGAGACAUCCCUGACUCUUUAAGAGUCCUAAAGGAACCAGUGAGACUAACUGGUUGAUAGGCUGGAGGUAUAAGCAUGGUAACAUGUUCAGCUUACCAGUACUAAUAAGCCGUGAGGCUUGACCAUAUU
rnacentral:rRNA from 1 species